ensembl:lncRNA
AAAACUCUCCAGUGUUUAUAACAUUAUCAGAGAAGAAAUUUUCCCUAACCACUUAUGAAUAUGCUGAGCUCUUCACAUUAACAUUUCUGGAUGUUCUGGUUUUGAAAUGGAAAUUAUGAUGUCAGAAAUACCAAGUUCAUUUCUCUCAGAGCAGUAUGUGUGACGCCCAGAGUCCAUCAGCACCAAGACUGUCUAAUGAAUGAAGCCUGUGGAGAAGGACAUUAAGGAGCAAGCGCUCCCUUUUCUUUAGCUCUCCUUUUUGUUUAACUCUUCCCCCUCCUGCAGUAUACAGGGUCUAGAUUGAUGGAAAUUUUUAUGUCCUGGAUCAGUCGUCUUCAUUGAAUUGCCGCUUAUUUAACACCUUUAUUGAUGGGUAUGGAAGGGAGAGUAGGAAACAAUGUGAUUAAAGGGAUGUUUGUGAAUUGUUUUCUCUUUAAAACAGAUAUUUUAAUAUUCUUAAGUCUCUUCCCUCCUUCCUUCUAAUUCCUCUUUUCAUAGGUGUUUGUGCAGGGUGAAGAAACAUGACACUUAAGUUCCCAGGUGACAGCACUGGUAAUGUCCCGGCCAACCAACAGGCAAGGAUAUUCUUAGCAAGCAGGGCCUGAAAUAGAUGAGGAGAGUGAGCUCGAUUCUGUCAGUACAAGGAUGAAUCCUGUCUUAUUUAAAAUCUGGACAUUUCGUUCAUUAUAAAUUUUUUGCAUUAAUUUUGAUUUUUUAAAACAUUGCACUAAAAUAUUAUGUCUGGAUUACUGAGUUUAUUGGUACCACUUAAAUUUUGUGAUACCAGUGAAUGCCUGACUUGCCUUACCCUAGGACUCUCCAGAGACAAUUGCAGUGGAUUAAAAAUUAAGAAAACCUCUACUCCGUAAUUAAAUUCACAAGCCAUUUUGUAAGAAGCUACCAGAGACAAGGAAAGAUAAAAGCCAAUUCUAUAAAAACGUCCAUGGAAGAGUGGCAAGAUGAAGCUCUUACAUCAAACACGGUAGUGAAAUAAUGUUACUUUUUAACAAGUUCUAUGACCAUUCUACUUCUGUUUUAAAUUAUAAAAUAAUAUGUAUUCUGAAGUAACGCAUUACUGUCAUGUGUCGCUUAACAACGAGGAUAUGUUCUGAGAAAUGUGUCCUUGGGCGAUGCCAUCGUUGUGCAAACAUCAUAGAGUGGCUCACACCAACCUGGAUGGUACAGCCUACCACACACCUAGGCUCUAUGGUACUAAUCCUACUGGGUCACCAUCAUGUAUGUGGUCCAUUGUUGACCAAAAUAUCAUCAUGUGGUGCAUGACCAUAAUUUAAAUUAUUUUUCCAUUUAAGAAAUUCUUUUGAAAUGUGGGAUUUAUAUUUUUUAUUAGAAACAACAUCUUUACUAUACAUUGUCCUUUAACUAGUAUUUUCCAAUUGCCUCAUUGCUUUUCAGAAUCACAUCUUGACUUCUUUUAGUCACAGUUGUUUUAGAAAUGUCUAAUUUAUCUAAAGCAUUUUUUCUUGUUAGCUGUGUGAAAUUCGAGGAAUAAAUAGCAUUGUUCCUAUCUCUUCUGCUUAGUUAGUUAUCAGAGACUUUUCGCUGUGUAUUUUUAUAACUCUUCACAGUGGCUUUAGUUGGUGGUAUAGGGUUUUUAAAUAAUUCCAUUUCUAAGCACACAUCACACCAAACAUAACACCAGUAUUUGCUAUCACAAUUACACACAUCUGGAAGGAGGAUUUUUUGCAGCAUAACUCUCUCUGUAGUCAGAGUUUGUCUUAUUUCAGAGAAUUUCUGUGAAUAAUUACUACUCAAGUGUGUAGCAAUUACUAGUAUUCACCUAAUCGGAGCAACCUAUUUCUCAGUCCCUUACCCCAUCACCCAGUAACACUCUAUGGUUGUUCUGCCCUCUUCUGCAGGAGAAUUCCCAAAACUUCCAGUGUAAGUGAAUACUCUCACCAUCCCUUUGUCACUACUGAGGGAAAUCGGAAGAAGCAGACAGAGCUGCUAGUUGAGCUUGUGGUUCUCUCCGUGUAACAAUUCAAGGGGUCUAUUUUUCUUCAGGGUCUAUAAUCUUCUGUUAGUUUCCCCACUGUUUCACAUUUAACUUAAAGAAGUCUCCUUGGAAAUUUGCAGAGGACCAAGUUUGAAUUGCCUUCCUACCAGAAAGGAGUAAACAUCUGUCUUUGAUCAAGCUCAUCAUUAGAUCAGCCAAGGCCGAAGAUGAAAUAGGAUUUUCAGCGAACAUUUGGGAAACUGCUGUGGUCUAGCCUCAUCUCUGCCAUGAGGUGGCUCUGUGUCUUCUGAGACCAGAGUGUUGGGGACGUCACUGACUCAAGAGAGAGUGAGGCCCUGAGACACCAGGAGUCUCCGAAGGAGCGUGAUCGACA